rnacentral:rRNA from 1 species
CGGGUGAGUAAUAUAUCGGAACGUGCCCUGUAGCGGGGGAUAACCUAUCGAAAGAUGGACUAAUACCGCAUACGCUCUACGGAGGAAAGCGGGGGUCGCAAGACCUCGCACUAUAGGAGCGGCCGAUAUCGGAUUAGCUAGUUGGCGGGGUAAAAGCCCACCAAGGCGACGAUCCGUAGCUGGUCUGAGAGGAUGAUCAGCCACACUGGAACUGAGACACGGUCCAG